CAACAGCUCUCCUCCUUCCCUCCAGCUCCUCCCCAGUGUGUGUGUGUUUAAUGUUUUCAAUGUCUGGCAUCAACAUGUUUGGGUUGCGAAAUGAAGAUUAUGAAAACUUGAGAUAUACCAUUUAAUAGCUUGAGAGCUAAAUUGAGAAGAGCAUUCUAUUUCUGAUCAGGGAUAAGGGAAACGUGUGUCAAUCAGCAUAUGAGGAUAAAGAAUACACUGAAACAGCCAGAAAAGACAUGUCAAUUUUUUUGUGGACAAUUGCAGGUUCAACUACAAUUCAGGACUGACAAAUCUUGGUCCAUCGAGCAGGGGACACUGACGGUUAGAUUAGCCCUUAGAGCUCUGUCAUGUUGAUCCAAAAUGGUGAGUCUUUAUACUCCUGCCUGGAUCAGUCACCGGAUGUGGACCAUUCAGGAAGGGUGUGUCCUCUAGCAAGAUGGCUGUCUGCCACUGAGGUGGACCCUUCAGGAGCUAAGAACUGAAGACUCUGCUGAUGACCCUCCUUGCUGUUAGAAAGCACUCAUUUUAGAAGGCAGCUGUGAAUAGUGCAGCUUCUUGUCUACCUAAUUCAUUUGUAAAGAUUUUUGGGAGCUUCUGAUUAAAACACCCACUAAUGAAGGUAAAUGGAAAUUUAGCAAAGACAUACAGCAUUAAACUCCUGAGGAGCU